rnacentral:rRNA from 1 species
AGACUCGUAGCAGAUAGCUCAGUAACACGUGGCCAAACUACCCUAUGGAUCCGAAUAACCUCGGGAAACUGAGGCUAAUGCGGAAUAGCGUUCAUCGCCUGGAGUGGCACGAACGCGAAACGUUACGGCGCCAUAGGAUGUGGCUGCGGCCGAUUAGGUAGACGGUGGGGUAACGGCCCACCGUGCCCAUAAUCGGUACGGGUUGUGAGAGCAAGAGCCCGGAGACGGUAUCUGAGACAAGAUACCGGGCCCUACGGGGCGCAGCAGGCGCGAAACCUUUACACUGCACGCGAGUGCGAUAAGGGGACUCCGAGUGCGAGGGCAUAUAGUCCUCGCUUUUCACGACCGUAAGGUGGUCGUAGAAUAAGUGCUGGGCAAGACCGGUGCCAGCCGCCGCGGUAAUACCGGCAGCACGAGUGAUGACCGCUAUUAUUGGGCCUAAAGCGUCCGUAGCUGGCCACGCAAGUCUAUCGGGAAAUCCGCGCGCUUAACGCGCGGGCGUCCGGUGGAAACUGCGUGGCUUGGGACCGGAAGACCAGAGGGGUACGUCCGGGGUAGGAGUGAAAUCCCGUAAUCCUGGACGGACCACCGGUGGCGAAAGCGCCUCUGGAAGACGGAUCCGACGGUGAGGGACGAAAGCUCGGGUCACGAACCGGAUUAGAUACCCGGGUAGUCCGAGCUGUAAACGAUGUCUGCUAGGUGUGGCACAGGCUACGAGCCUGUGCUGUGCCGUAGGGAAGCCGUGAAGCAGACCGCCUGGGAAGUACGUCCGCAAGGAUGAAACUUAAAGGAAUUGGCGGGGGAGCACUACAACCGGAGGAGCCUGCGGUUUAAUUGGACUCAACGCCGGACAUCUCACCAGCAUCGACAAUGUGC